GAUGAAACUAGCCAGGUAAGUUACGACUACCUCUUUAAUAUUUGGAGUUGGUUUGCACAUCUAACCAGAUGGGUAGGCUUUACGCUUGUGCUUUCAGAUACAGUUGUUUAUUCAAUGUUACCUAUUUAGAGAGGUAUUUACUGUAUGAAUUUCCAAUUUAUAUUCUGUUUAUCAAAGAUGUGUGCCUCUGAGUCAGUGUCUUCUGAAUUUCAA
rnacentral:misc_RNA from 1 species